UACGCAGGGGGCUAGCGUUGCUCGGAAUCACUGGGCGUAAAGGGUGCGUAGGCGGGUCUUUAAGUCAGGGGUGAAAUCCUGGAGCUCAACUCCAGAACUGCCUUUGAUACUGAGGAUCUUGAGUUCGGGAGAGGUGAGUGGAACUGCGAGUGUAGAGGUGAAAUUCGUAGAUAUUCGCAAGAACACCAGUGGCGAAGGCGGCUCACUGGCCCGGUACUGACGCUGAGGUGCGAAAGCGUGGGGAGCAAACAGG
rnacentral:rRNA from 1 species